UACGUAGGGGGCUAGCGUUGUCCGGAAUCAUUGGGCGUAAAGAGCGUGUAGGCGGUCCGGUAAGUCCGCUGUGAAAGUCGGGGGCUCAACCCUCGAAUGCCGGUGGAUACUGUCGGGCUAGAGUGCGGAAGAGGCGAGUGGAAUUCCUGGUGUAGCGGUGAAAUGCGCAGAUAUCAGGAGGAACGCCUAUUGCGAAGGCAGCUCGCUGGGACGUAACUGACGCUGAGACGCGAAAGCGUGGGGAGCAAACAGG
rnacentral:rRNA from 1 species